CUACGGGAUGCUGCAGUGAGGAAUUUUGCGCAAUGGGGGAAACCCUGACGCAGCAACGCCGCGUGAGUGAAGAAGGCCUUUGGGUCGUAAAGCUCUGUCAACAGGGAAGAAGUUACAAUUGUUUAAUAGAUGAUUGUAUUGACGGUACCUGUGGAGGAAGCGCCGGCUAACUCCGUGCCAGCAGCCGCGGUAACACGGGGGGCGCAAGCGUUAUUCGGAAGUAUUGGGCGUAAAGGGCGCGCAGGCGGUCUUGUCCGUCAGGUGUGAAAGCUCGGGGCUCAACCCCGGAAGUGCACUUGAAACAGCAAGACUUGAAUACGGGAGAGGAAAGCGGAAUUCCUGGUGUAGAGGUGAAAUUCGUAGAUAUCAGGAGGAACACCGAUGGCGAAGGCAGCUUUCUGGACCGAUAUUGACGCUGAGGCGCGAAGGCGUGGGGAGCGAACGGGAUUAGAUACCCUGGUAGUC
rnacentral:rRNA from 1 species